rnacentral:misc_RNA from 1 species
GGAAGUAAAAGUCGUAACAAGGUCUCCGUUGGUGAACCAGCGGAGGGAUCAUUACCGAGUUUACAACUCCCAAACCCCUGUGAACUUAUACCUUUACUGUUGCUUCGGCGGGUCAUUGCCCCGGGGAAACAGGCGGCCGUCAGGUCCCUGCCCACCCGGAAACAGGCGCCCGCCGGGGGACUCAAACUCUUCUGUAUUUUUUUGUUUACUGUAUACUGUCUGAGUAAAAAUUCAUAAUGAAUCAAAACUUUCAACAACGGAUCUCUUGGUUCUG